UACGUAGGGUGCAAGCGUUAAUCGGAAUUACUGGGCGUAAAGCGUGCGCAGGCGGUUAUAUAAGUCAGUUGUGAAAUCCCCGGGCUCAACCUGGGAACUGCAUCUGUGACUGUAUAGCUAGAGUACGGUAGAGGGGGAUGGAAUUCCGCGUGUAGCAGUGAAAUGCGUAGAUAUGCGGAGGAACACCGAUGGCGAAGGCAAUCCCCUGGACCUGUACUGACGCUCAUGCACGAAAGCGUGGGGAGCAAACAGG
rnacentral:rRNA from 1 species